rnacentral:rRNA from 1 species
UGAGGAAUAUUGGUCAAUGGGGGCAACCCUGAACCAGCCAAGUCGCGUGAAGGAUGAAGGUCUUAUGGAUUGUAAACUUCUUUUAUACAGGAAUAAAUUGGGGGACGUGUCCCCUUUUGCAUGUACUGUAUGAAUAAGGUUCGGCUAACUCCGUGCCAGCAGCCGCGGUAAUACGGAGGAUCCGAGCGUUAUCCGGAUUUAUUGGGUUUAAAGGGUGCGCAGGCGGGAUGUUAAGUCGGCGGUGAAAUUUUGCAGCUCAACUGUAAAAGUGCCUUCGAUACUGGCCUCCUUGAGUGUGGAUGAAGUAGGCGGAAUUAGUGGUGUAGCGGUGAAAUGCUUAGAUAUCACGAGGAACUCCGAUUGCGCAGGCAGCUUACUAAGCCACAACUGACGCUCAUGCACGAA